UAAUUUGAGAGUUUGAUCCUGGCUCAGGACGAACGCUGGCGGCGUGCCUAAUACAUGCAAGUCGAACGAACUCUGGUAUUGAUUGGUGCUUGCAUCAUGAUUUACAUUUGAGUGAGUGGCGAACUGGUGAGUAACACGUGGGAAACCUGCCCAGAAGCGGGGGAUAACACCUGGAAACAGAUGCUAAUACCGCAUAACAACUUGGACCGCAUGGUCCGAGCUUGAAAGAUGGCUUCG
rnacentral:rRNA from 1 species